rnacentral:rRNA from 1 species
UGGGGAAUUUUGGACAAUGGGGGCAACCCUGAUCCAGCAAUGCCGCGUGUGUGAAGAAGGCCUUCGGGUUGUAAAGCACUUUUGUCCGGAAAGAAAACGCCGUGGUUAAUACCCGUGGCGGAUGACGGUACCGGAAGAAUAAGCACCGGCUAACUACGUGCCAGCAGCCGCGGUAAUACGUAGGGUGCAAGCGUUAAUCGGAAUUACUGGGCGUAAAGCGUGCGCAGGCGGUCCGCUAAGACAGAUGUGAAAUCCCCGGGCUUAACCUGGGAACUGCAUUUGUGACUGGCGGGCUAGAGUAUGGCAGAGGGGGGUAGAAUUCCACGUGUAGCAGUGAAAUGCGUAGAGAUGUGGAGGAAUACCGAUGGCGAAGGCAGCCCCCUGGGCCAAUACUGACGCUCAUGCACGAAAGCGUGGGGAGCAAACAGGAUUAGAUACCCUGGUAGUCCACGCCCUAAACGAUGUCAACUAGUUGUCGGGUCUUCAUUGACUUGGUAACGUAGCUAACG